GAUGCAUUAUAUAUUUAUAGAGGUUCGGCCUAACCACUUGACCUAGUCUUCACCCCCAAAAAUUUCUUCUUGAGAAAUUUCACGAUCUUGUAAACUUUUUACAGGUUUUUCCCACGAACUUCCUUACAAACAAACUGAAGUUUACAACAAAUAUCCACCAAACCAAAAAUGAGUUUCAAUAACAGUUAUACUCCAAAGCAAA
rnacentral:lncRNA from 1 species